CAGUGGUCUCAUAAGGCAUCUGUAUACAAAGUAUGAAGCAUCAUGGUCUUAUAACUUCUAAAAUACCAAGCUUUUAAGAAGUAAGCUUAUGCCACCACUGCGUGAUCUUUAUGUUGGGUUUUCUGCGACUUAGGCUAAACACAAAUGAAUUAAAUGUGGUAUGAUGACGCCACAGCUUGCAUUUCAUAUAGUUAAAAAGGGACAUAACUAAGAAAAGUAAAAGUGAUGCUAACCAAAUUUGUACUUGAUCUGCGUUUUAAAACAACUAUUGUAAAUUUUUCAUAUAAAGUUGCUGCAAACUUAAG
rnacentral:lncRNA from 1 species